rnacentral:rRNA from 1 species
ACUGAAUAGAUACCCCGGUAGUCCACGCCGUAAACGAUGAAUGCUAGCUGUUAGAAGUAUCGACCCUUCUAGUAGCGAAAGCUAACGCGUUAAGCAUUCCGCCUGUGGAGUACGGUCGCAAGACUAAAACAUAAAGGAAUUGACGGGGACCCGCACAAGCGGUGGAGCGUGUUCUUUAAUUCGAAGGUAAGCGAAGAACCUUACCAAGGUUUGACAUCCCGGUAGCCGUUUUCCGAAAGGAGAACUUCAUUUAGUUGGACCGGUGACAGGUGUUGCAUGGCCGUCGUCAGCUCGUGUCGUGAGAUGUUUGGUUAAGUCCAUCAACGAGCGCAACCCUUAUAGUUAGUUGGAUUUCUCUAGCUAGACUGCCCCGGUAACGGGGAGGAAGGAGGGGAUGAUGUCAGGUCAGUAUUACCCUUACACCUUGGGCUAGAAACACGCUACAAUGGCCAGUACAAAGGGCAGCCAAGUCGCGAGACGGAGCAAAUCCCAUCAAAGCUGGUCCCAGUUCGGAUAGGAGGCUGAAACUCGCCUCCUUGAAGUCGGAAUCGCUAGUAGCGGUGA